rnacentral:rRNA from 1 species
GCUUGCACUCUGUGAAACAAGAUACAGGCUAGCGGCGGACGGGUGAGUAACACGUGGGUAACCUGCCCAAGAGAUCGGGAUAACACCUGGAAACAGAUGCUAAUACCGGAUAACAACAGAUGAUGCCUAUCAACUGUUUAAAAGAUGGUUCUGCUAUCACUCUUGGAUGGACCUGCGGUGCAUUAGCUAGUUGGUAGGGUAACGGCCUACCAAGGCGAUGAUGCAUAGCCGAGUUGAGAGACUGAUCGGCCACAUUGGGACUGAGACACGGCCCAAACUCCUACGGGAGGCAGCAGUAGGGAAUCUUCCACAAUGGACGCAAGUCUGAUGGAGCAACGCCGCGUGAGUGAAGAAGGGUUUCGGCUCGUAAAGCUCUGUUGUUGGUGAAGAAGGACAGGGGUAGUAACUGACCUUUGUUUGACGGUAAUCAAUUAGAAAGUCACGGCUAACUACGUGCCAGCAGCCGCGGUAA